GACAGAGGUGCCGAGCGUUAGGCGGAAUCACUGGGCGUAAAGGGCGCGUAGGCGGAUCUUUAAGUCGGGGGUGAAAGCCCAGGGCUCAACCCUGGAAUUGCCUUCGAUACUGGAGAUCUUGAGACCGGAAGAGGUAAGUGGAACUGCGAGUGUAGAGGUGAAAUUCGUAGAUAUUCGCAAGAACACCAGUGGCGAAGGCGGCUUACUGGUCCGGUUCUGACGCUGAGGCGCGAAAGCGUGGGGAGCAAACAGG
rnacentral:rRNA from 1 species